UACGUAGGGCGCAAGCGUUGUCCGGAAUUAUUGGGCGUAAAGAGCUCGUAGGCGGCUUGUCACGUCGGUUGUGAAAGCCCGGGGCUUAACCCCGGGUCUGCAGUCGAUACGGGCUAGCUAGAGUGUGGUAGGGGAGAUCGGAAUUCCUGGUGUAGCGGUGAAAUGCGCAGAUAUCAGGAGGAACACCAGCGGCGAAGGCGGCGCUCUGGGCCGGAACUGACGCUGAGGAGCGAAAGCGUGGGUAGCAAACAGG
rnacentral:rRNA from 1 species